rnacentral:rRNA from 1 species
GCAAUAUGAAGGUCAGGCUGAAGACCUUACCCGAUUAGCUGAGAGGUGGUGCAUGGCCGUCGUCAGUUCGUACUGUGAAGCAUCCUGUUAAGUCAGGCAACGAGCGAGACCCACGUCCACAGUUGCCAGCAUACCCUCCGGGGUGAUGGGUACACUGUGGAGACCGCCGCUGCUAAAGCGGAGGAAGGAGUGGGCAGCGGUAGGUCAGUAUGCCCCGAAUCUCCCGGGCUACACGCGGGCUACAAUGGUUGGUACAAUGGGCAUCUACCCCGAAAGGGGAAGGAAAUCUCUUAAAGCCAAUCGUAGUUCGGAUUGAGGGCUGCAACUCGCCCUCAUGAAGCUGGAAUCCGUAGUAAUCGCGUUUCAACAGAACGCGGUGAAUACGUCCCUGCUCCUU